GCUGUACAUGCAAGUCGAACGAGCUUCCGUUGAAUGACGUGCUUGCACUGAUUUCAACAAUGAAGCGAGUGGCGAACUGGUGAGUAACACGUGGGAAAUCUGCCCAGAAGCAGGGGAUAACACUUGGAAACAGGUGCUAAUACCGUAUAACAACAAAAUCCGCAUGGAUUUUGUUUGAAAGGUGGCUUCGGCUAUCACUUCUGGAUGAUCCCGCGGCGUAUUAGUUAGUUGGUGAGGUAAAGGCCCACCAAGACGAUGAUACGUAGCCGACCUGAGAGGGUAAUCGGCCACAUUGGGACUGAGACACGGCCCAAACUCCUACGGGAGGCAGCAGUAGGGAAUCUUCCACAAUGGACGAAAGUCUGAUGGAGCAAUGCCGCGUGAGUGAAGAAGGGUUUCGGCUCGUAAAACUCUGUUGUUAAAGAAGAACACCUUUGAGAGUAACUGUUCAAGGGUUGACGGUAUUUAACCAGAAAGCCACGGCUAACUACGUGCCAGCAGCCGCGGUAAUACGUAGGUGGCAAGCGUUGUCCGGAUUUAUUGGGCGUAAAGCGAGCGCAGGCGGUUUUUUAAGUCUGAUGUGAAAGCCUUCGGCUUAACCGGAGAAGUGCAUCGGAAACUGGGAGACUUGAGUGCAGAAGAGGACAGUGGAACUCCAUGUGUAGCGGUGGAAUGCGUAGAUAUAUGGAAGAACACCAGUGGCGAAGGCGGCUGUCUAGUCUGUAACUGACGCUGAGGCUCGAAAGCAUGGGUAGCGAACAGGAUUAGAUACCCUGGUAGUCCAUGCCGUAAACGAUGAGUGCUAAGUGUUGGAGGGUUUCCGCCCUUCAGUGCUGCAGCUAACGCAUUAAGCACUCCGCCU
rnacentral:rRNA from 2 species